AGCGCGAUUUGCUGCUCCCGCCGUGGGCCUCGCGCAGACGGGUUGGGCUGAGUGGGGCUGAGGCGGAGCGCCAGCCCUCCUAGGGUAUCUCCUGUCACGUCCGCGGCCCUCGCGACCUUGGCAAAGUAUCCAGGAUGAAUGACAGCCUGUUUGUCAGUUUGGACAGACUUUUGUUAGAAUUUGUUUUCCAGUAUGAGCAAGAUAUAAGUACUAAAGAAGAUAUAAUUCAACGAAUUAAUAAAUGCUUUGAAGAUAUUAAAGAAAAUAAAGCGACCAUUUGUAAAAUACACGAAGCUAUAAAUACAACAGAUGAGGAAAUAGGUCAUUACUGUAGACAUAGUAAGGAGAUCAAAGACAGCUGUAGUAACUGGAAGCCAACAUGUGAUGUAUUUUACAAACAUGAAGACUAUAUGCAGGACCAGUUUACUAUUUAUCAAGAAACUAUUGAAAAAGACAAAAAAAAGUACCAUGGUUAUCUAUGUGAGUAUAAAGAUGUUUUGAAGCAAUACCAGAUAAAAUACUCAGAAACACCCCUUUCACAUGAAUAUUAUGAGAAGAAAAGGGAACAUGAAGAAAUUAAAAACAGAGUGUUGGCAUGUACUGAACAACUAAAAAUGAAUGAAACUAUUUUUAUGGAAUUUUUAGUGCCUGCUCCCUUUCCAUCACUUACCAGUUGGACCUUACAUAUGUAUCCACAGUAAUAUUUCUACUUAAAAUUUUUAUUAGAUAAGUAUUAUUUCUGUAUUUUAAUUGUUACUGUGUUUCCCUAUGAGAAUCACAUUGAUUUGCUUUUUAUUUAAUUAAAAAAUUUUAGAGAAUACUCUAAAGGUCACAUGGGAUUAUUUUCCAUAUAUGUGCAUGUCAUCAGAAGCAAGUAAUUUUAAUCCAAAUAAAAUGGUAUAAGUGGCAUAUCUUAGCAACCAAACUGAUGAAAAAGUCACCUUACUCUGUGUUACCAAAGAAGAAUUUCAGUUAAAUUAAUUGGUUAUUACUUGUUAGGAUGGAAGGUGGCAAGGAGGUGAGUCACAGUUCUUGGGUACCUACUUUGUGCCAGGCUAUACUCAAGAUAUAGAGCUUAUAAUGAGCUCACAGUUUAGUAGAGGAAUCAGACAUGUAAACAAGUAAUUCUAAUACAGUGGCAUUGUAUUAGAUGCUUAAGUAAUUCUUAAUUGGUAUAAGUCUCAUCUGUUUGUCAAGGAGAUCUUCCCUGAUGAUGAACUUGGAACUUUAAUCCUCUUCCAAUCUCCACAAUCCUUCAUAUGCUUUCCUAUCAGAUUAUAACUCCACUGUUUGUACUAAGUCUUCUUUAUCCCUCCAUUCUACCUUGCUUCAUUCUGCUUCAUCCUAAAUCAUCCUUUUAACUCCUUUGCUGUUUUCUCUCUCCAUGUUUGGGUUUUAGCUUAUUCUGUACUUAAUUGUUCAUUUGCUGCCCAUCUGUGUUUUAACUUCUCAGUGAGAGGAGGCAGAGGUUGGUAGAUGCAGAAGGCACAGCAGGGAUUUGGGGAGUUGGAUGUAGAGAUGGAUGAGAUAUAAGAUUGCAUGACAAACAUAAGGGGGUAAUGGAGGUAGGGAGAAUUGAAGAUUAGGAUUUAAAUGUCUAUAUCUAAACUUUUGAAUUGAUACUUUUGAUAACAACAUAGCAUAAAUAACAUUCAUCUGAAAUUUUAUAUUCUGUCAUAUUCUUUUUAAACUCUCCUAAAUGGAUUGUAGAGUAACUUAGGAAAUUGUACUAGCUGUUAAUCAUGCAUACUGUCUAUUAAUAGCUGAGAACUUCUCUACUUGAAGUUGGAUAUAAAUCCAGUGUAGGCAGAAAGUUCAGAUGGAAGAUCUAGCUCUCUUUCGAGUUCUAUAGAGUGCACUGAUAAACUUUACACAGCUAGAAAAGGGAAAUUGAGUGGAUUUUUAACAUUGACUUUGGAACAAAUAAAUAAUGGAAACAUAGAAAGUUAAAUUUGGACCUAAAUCAAUUACGUUCAUUGUGCCAAAUGACAUGAUGAACUUGGGUAAAAAGUUAAAAACACACUGUGAAAAUAUUUAACUGAAAGAAAAAAUUGUAGCACAUUUUUGAUGAAGUGUUAUUUUUAAGUUCAAUACAUUUACAUAGACAAAGAGUAAAUUAUAUUUGUCUGUUUGCCAAAUGUUGCCAAAUGUACUAGUUGUAAUGCUACUUUCAGGUACUUGCUAUUAAUAUUGCUUGUAUGACAUACAUAAAUAAUGUUACAUAAUACUAAUUAUUUCUGAUAUAGUACAUACAUUAUAAAUGUGAAAUUUAUUGUAUAACAUAGUUCCUUAAUAUAAAAGGGUUAAUUUGAGAUGUAAAACACAAGAUAUACUUAAACAUGCCAACAAAUUUUCCAAGAAUUCAUCUGAAUUGAAGAGAGAAGUAGAUGAUGUGGAAAUAGAAAUUAAUUAUUUAAACCAGGUAUAUAUUUUGUUAUGUUUCUAAUGUAUGUGUUAAUGUAAAAGUGUAAUGGUGUGUUAGAAGACAGUCUUAGGAGAGCUAUUUCUCAAAAGCCUCAAUAUGGGGAAAAGCUUACAAUAAUUUAUUUGCCUCGCAUUACGUUUGGAGCCAAAAUUUUAAAUGUUGAGCAUAUUCACCUCUGAGUUUAGGGAAUAGUUUAACUUUGGGUACUGAGGAAAGAAGAUAAGGAAAGAACAAGAUGUAGCUUAAUAGUAGGUUUUUAAAGGCAUUAUCAGUGCUUACAGCACUGUUGUCAAAAAAGAGUACUAGAGAGUAAAUGGUUUAAAGAAUUUAAUCGAUAAAACUUAUGACUACUCUUUUAUAAAAAUCAGCUAGAACUAGUUUAGAACUAGUUUAGUUUUAAGAUUGACUGUAUGUGAUAUUUUCUGGAAUACAUUUUUAGUGUCAUAUGUUGAAAAAUGGCUUUCAAAACCCAUCAAAAUCACUUCCAAAUUUUGAGAAAAAAAUUAAACAGCUGAUUUUUAAAAUUUUCAAAAAUUGUAUUAAAGGUGGUAUAUUUAUCAUUAUAGGCUUAAGAGUCCAAAUAACGGUAAUAGCAUUUUAGUAAUGAGAAGAAAGUGAAUGCUACUUACUUUUAAAUAUAUGGUAACUAUCUCUAUGUAGGGAAUCAGUCUCCUUUGCUUCUAACUGUCCUUUUCAAAGAAGUUGGAAGUUCAUUGAAAUCUAGGUUUUCUAAUUGAGUUGUAAGGAAAAAUAAAAGGAGCAUGAUUUAGUGUUCAUUUUGACUCUGUUUUAGCAGCUUUUACUACGUGAUAGCUAGUACUAGCAAAGAUAAAAAUCUUGUGAUUAUGUAGAAAAAAUCAUAUUCAUUAGUUAAGAUAAAGCAUAUGUUCCUUAAUGCUUUGCAGGUAAUUAUUUUAUUUUGCUUUGUCAUUUUUCUUUUUAGCAUAUUGCAAGACUUUAUGAAAUGAAGAAUCUUUCGGAAACUCCAGAGGAAAAAAAUAAAAAUGUAGAAAAGAGAAAGGAAUUGAAAGAAAGAGUCUUUGAAAAAGAUGAACAACAUGUAUUUAUAUUGAACAAAACCCCUCCCAACAGUCAAUUAUUUCUUCCAUACGAAUCUCAGAAAUUAGUCAGACCAGUGAAGACGCAUUCUUCAGAACCAAGAGUUAAAGAUAAAGAAGAAAGUUCUGGGAAGUGGUCAAAACUUGCCAAUAUUGACUUCAGACAAAAAGAAAGUGAUACACAGGUAGUGAAUGACUCAGCUGUGAAUAGCCACUCAAAAUGUUCACAUAUUACAGCUUUUAAAAGUUCACAAAAUCUUAUGCAGUUCAGGUUUUAUAUACAGAACAUUUUGGAAAGCCAGUAGAAGAAAGUGCUGAGAUUUUCUCACAAACUCCUGAAAUUCCCUUAUUUUUAAGGACUGCUGAAGCUGUGAAAAUACCUGAAUCUGUGGAGAAAUUACCUGAAACCUCCUCAUUUGAAAUAAAUAAAAAUACAACUACUGAAUGUCAAACACAAAAGGAAUCCUCUGGAUUUUCUUUUUUUACAAGUUAUACUUCUGGAUCGCCUGGAUUGAAUUUAUUUGAUUCUUCUAUAUUUGAUUCAGAAAUCCCAUCACAUCAGUUUAACGAACAUUAUUCUGCAGGAAAUUUAAAUCCUCUCUCAUCACAACAAGAAAUUGGAAACUUAUUUGGGAAGCCAGAAGGAGAAGAUGCCUUUACUUUUUCUUUUCCAUCAGACUCUUCAACUCACAUAUUUGGAGCUGGAAGAGAUGAUUUUAGUUUUCCCUUUCCAUUUGAACAGGAUCAAAACUCAGCACCUUCUUCUGUAAAAGGAUUUUCAUCCUCCUCACAAAAUACCACACAAUUUACUUUUUUUUGAACUAGUUGCUAAUUUAUUGAAUUAUUUUACUACUCUCUAAUCAUCUAGGGCAUAAAUUUACAUUAUGCUUAAGCUAUGAAGAUCACUUUCUUUUGUUGAUUAAAGAAAUAAUGGGUUACCGUAGUUACAUUUUUUGAUUAUAUUUAUUUAACUAUUGAAGGAAAUUAAGAUGUUUUCAUCUACUUUUGUUUUUAUUUGCAGCAUUACCUGUCAUUAUUUUCUUUUGGUUUUGAUUUUGUAGGCUUAUAUUCAUACAGAACCAGUGCUUCACUGCUGCAGUAUAAGGAGUGGUACAUUAAUCAUCUCAAAGAAUUUAUGUUAUUGAUAGUGAAUAAUAUGUGCUAUUUUCCUCUAAUAUAACACAAAUUCAAAUAUAAUCAGUAAUUCUAAUAUCUUUAAUAGAAGGAAAUUAAAUGUGAAAAGCUAGAGUAAUUUCUUAAAAUUGGAUGGCUGCAUUAAUGGUAAUACUGUUAAUAUAUAGCUUUACUUAAACCUUUUUGAAGAACAUUUAUAAUUUUGUUUCCUGUCUUCAACAAAAAAUUCAUCUUUGUUUUAUAUGCCUUAUUUGCUUGUCAAUUAUAUAGCUUAAAUGAAGAUAACUAAAAUUUGAUGAAAUUAUAUAAACUUAUUGCUCAAUAUCUUUGUAUUUUGUGCUUUUUAAAACUAGCUUGUAUUGAGUUAUCAAGUAAUAAAAAAUCUGAAUCUGUAUUUUGAUGUAUGACUAUUGACAGAUUUUAAGUCUCACCCUGUUUUCUUUCCCUUCCCCACCCCCCAUAUCUGGUCAAUCUGAUAAGAAAGCACAGGUAUUCCCUCCUUUGGCUCCAAUGAGAAGAGAUUGAGUGCCUUAAGAGCAAAGAAAGAUCAUCAUGGACUGAAAAGCUUGGGGAGGAUUCAUCAAAGAAAUGGGAUUUGAAUCGGGACUUUAAAGGUUGAUGUUCCUGAAUGUCAAAAAAGGUUGUCGGAAGUAUCCAAGUGUUUGGCCUGGUGCUUAGCUCUUGGGUAUGAACUUGAAAAAUGUUGCCUGAGAAAAAUGAAUUGCAGUCAUUGCAGUCUGAAAAUAACUUCAAAGAGCAACCUAAACUCUAAUAGUAAUGGUCUUUUCUUUAAAUAUCUUGAACAAAAGUGAUUUUACAUCUUAUUUGGCAUUAAAUAGCAUGUUAAUUAGAAUUGUCAGAUGUGAGCAGCAGAGACUCAACUCAUACCAGCUUAAAUACAAAAGACACUAUAGUUUGGCUUCAGUUCUUAAAGGAAAUGGAAUUUAAGAUCAUCAGAGAAUAAGCAUAGUGGCUACAUCAAUUGUGAGGAUAAUUAGACCAACAGUUUAAUGACCUUGCCAUAUAACUGACUUCUCGUCGUGCAUUGGUGAAAAGGGCAAUGGAAUGGAAAUACAAUCUGUUACUGACUUAAUGGUUCUUAUCAGGCAGCAGCUGACACAUGCUCACUUGACACACAAAAUCAGAUAUUUGAACUAGUUGAAAGAAUGUGAACUGCAAAAUUGGCCAUCUGGUGCUGGUGUGGAAGAUGGACAAAGAUCUGAGAUGAGGAAACACACAGAUCCACCCCUGCCCCCAAAACCCAAGGUAAGGAGCAAAAGGUGGAGGGGCAGGGUUGAGGCGGGGGCGGGGGUCAUGAACAUCCGCAGCUGCCUGGCCUCUAGGUUCCCUGCCCGAGCUCGCUGACGGUCCUGAGCAGCUUCCCACAUGCAGCUGUACUUGCCUGCCCUCAUCCCUUCUUUCCUCCCCAUCGGAGCCUGUAAUUACUGACACCAGGUGCACAGCUUCCACUCAUCUCCUGUGACUUCAUCGUGCAUGGAGCUGUGAGGGGUAAUUUGCCAACCUACAUGGAAGCUUCUUUUUAAAAGCAGGAUAGGUGGGGUGUAGUAUUACAUCUCUAGGAAUCCUUAGACCACAGAAAAGGAAAUGAAAUUCACCUAGGGAACAAAGGAGUCUACAGCUCACUUUUCUUCAACCUUGUGGAAUUGUAUGUAGCACUUUGGGGUACAGAGGCUGUGCCCAGAAUGAAGAAGGAAGUGUCUUGUUGCGGAAGUUUCUGGGGUCAUAGCCCCAAGUGGGGCAUUUGCUCCAAUGCCAAAUCGAGAUUAAGGCAAGGAAGGAAAAGGCUGUGGUUCAUGCACUUGGCAGAUUGCCAGUGGGGACCAGAGUGGCUAAGUGCCUGGACUUAAAGACAGACUUUCUGGGUUCAAACCCUGGGUUUACCAGUUAGCAGUAGUGUGUCUGAAUAGCUCAGGCUCUGAGCCUCAGUUUUUCAUCUGAGCAAUAGGAUGAUUAUCAAGCCUAUGUCAUGGUGUUAUUUGGAGGAUUUAAAUGAGAUACUGCAUGAGAAGCACUUGGUGUAGUACCUGGCACAAGGCACAAGGUGGUGCUUGUUUGAUUGACCUUGUCUGGCUCUGUUUCAGAAGGGUUGUGGGAGAGAGUAGCCAUGCUCUUUGAGGCAUGUCCUUCUAAGCCUGUCACCUUCUGUAUCUUGAAGGAGGGAUUGAUGCAUCUAAAACUGGUUUCGUACCUCUCUGGCUUCUACGGGCCUCCAUGCAAGCCUUUUUCCUUAGAGGGGUGGACUGAAAGAGACUUCUGCUUCCCUACACACAUUUUCCUGGUCACAGGGCUGGGAUAAUGAGGUACAAAUCCUAAGGGUCCCUGGCAGGUUGUCUGAUCCUUUUUAAGGCAGUGCAUUUUCCAAGGAGCCAAUUCUGGAGGAUCUGACAAUCCUAUUUUAUUUACUUAUUUUUAUUGAAGUAAGGGUGAUUUACAUAUUAGUUGCAGGUGUACAGCAUAGUGAUUCAGUAUUUUUAUAGCUUAUACUCCAAUAAAAGUUAUUACAAGUUAAUGGCUACAAUACCCUGUGCUAUACAAUAUAUCCUUGUUGCUUAUUUAUUUUAUACAGAGUAAUUUAUACCUGUUAAUCUCA